rnacentral:rRNA from 1 species
AGUGAACGCUGGCGGUAGGCCUAACACAUGCAAGUCGAACGGCAGCACAGUAAGAGCUUGCUCUUACGGGUGGCGAGUGGCGGACGGGUGAGGAAUACAUCGGAAUCUACUUUUUCGUGGGGGACAACGUAGGGAAACUUACGCCAAUACCGCAUACGACCUACGGGUGAAAGCAGGGGAUCUUCCGACCUUGCGCGAUUGAAUGAGCCGAUGUCGGAUUAGCUAGUUGGCGGGGUAAAGGCCCACCAAGCCGACGAUCCGUAGCUGGUCUGAGAGGAUGAUCAGCCACACUGGAACUGAGACACGGUCCAGACUCCUACGGGAGGCAGCAGUGGGGAAUAUUGGACAAUGGGCGCAAGCCUGAUCCAGCCAUACCGCGUGGAUGAAGAAGGCCUUCGGGUUGUAAAGCCCUUUUGUUGGGAAAGAAAAGCAGCAGGUUAAUACCCCGCUGUUCUGACGGUACCCAAAGAAUAAGCACCGGCUAACUUCGUG